rnacentral:lncRNA from 1 species
CCUUUUGAACCGUAUCAAAGAGCUAAGCACCCACAAAAAAAAAAAGAAGCAAAAAUAAAUAAAUUAGCGGGGUUUCUUGGUUUUGGGCGUUUGAAAUUUUUUGAGGCCGUGCUGUGUGUUUGUUUAUAUGAUUGAAGGAAAGACGGAGUGGGCUACGUUAAUAAAAACCACAGGGUUUUGUUUUUUCUCGUUGGUUGAAAAAUGGGAAACCACAGGAUUGCUACAAGAAAAAAGUGACUCCCUUUUUUAUCUCUGAUGCAGGAGGUGUG